rnacentral:tRNA from 1 species
GAGAAGGUCUAAGACUUGCUAAUUCUUUAUUCUGGUAUUAAAACCCAGCCCUCUCU